UACGAAGGGGGCUAGCGUUGCUCGGAAUUACUGGGCGUCAAGGGCGCGUAGGCGGGUGUUUAAGUCAGAGGUCAAAUCCCAGGGCUCAACCCUGGAACUGCCUUUGAUACUGGGCACCUAGAGUUCGGGAGAGGUGUGUGGAACUCCGAGUGUAGAGGUGAAAUUCGUAGAUAUUCGGAAGAACACCAGUGGCGAAGGCGACACACUGGCCCGAUACUGACGCUGAGGCGCGAAAGCGUGGGGAGCAAACAGG
rnacentral:rRNA from 1 species